rnacentral:misc_RNA from 1 species
GCUUCAUGAACACAUGGUCAUUUUACAAGCUCAAGAGAGCUUUAAAGAAAUUUUAGAUGUUCUUCAAAGUUCAAACUAUCUAGAUGCUAUUGUGGGCAUGCUUGUUGCGUAUUAAGAUUGUCACCCUCAAAAUUGUCAUGAUUUAUUCCUUUCAUUUAUAUUUAUUCCUUCAAUUUAUAUUUGUUUCAGGGCAUGAAUCAAACAAAUGGGAUAAAUUGUUGCUACCAGAUUUGGGUUGUAUCUAAUAUUGAGAAUUUAAUGUGAUGUACAAUGACUUAGGUUUUCAAUCAAUUGAGAACCAGCGUCUCCUAAAUCCUGUAUUCUAUCAAGUUGCGGCCUGUUUCAAAUAAAUAAUUAUAGAACUUUUUACCGACCAUAUUCAUUUGUUCAAAAAGAUUAAAGAAUGUGUAAAAUAAAAGGGAGAAAAGCUAGCAAUGUUAUUUUCGAUGUUGGUUAUCUGAAUGCACAUUUUUGUCCUCAGGUACUGAGACGUUUGGCACAA